CUCAACGCGUUCGUUGGUCAUUGCAAUUUGAACGAUGCGCCCGCCUAGUCGGUUACGCGCCUCGAGUAACUUGAAGUCUGUGAAACCGUUUUUCGUGAGGUGUCUCACUCGGGGUUUCGUUUUCUGUUGGUAUUGGUCCAUGAUCUUCGCAAUUGCUCAUGUUUUUGCAAGAGCACAAACUUCAAGGAAGUUAUCCACUGUUGAUUACAUGAGUGUUUGGCGCUCAGCUGCUCCGUGACAUCAAUUCUACCUUAAUUUCGACCUUGCGGGGACCUUGUAUUGUGAGUUGCCUAUCAAAUUACACCUGAAAUGCAAAACUCUUACAAGUUUACUUUUAUAUAGUUCUUUAAUAACAAAAAUUAUAAAUUUAGUCAUUUUAUAUAGAUCAUAAUAUAAAAUGUACUUUUCUCUAAAA